rnacentral:rRNA from 1 species
GUAGGGUGCGAGCGUUGUCCGGAAUUAUUGGGCGUAAAGGGCUCGUAGGCGGUUUGUCGCGUCGGGAGUGAAAACACUGGGCUUAACUCAGUGCUUGCUUUCGAUACGGGCAGACUAGAGGCAUGCAGGGGAGAACGGAAUUCCUGGUGUAGCGGUGAAAUGCGCAGAUAUCAGGAGGAACACCGGUGGCGAAGGCGGUUCUCUGGGCAUGUCCUGACGCUGAGGAGCGAAAGUGUGGGGAGCGAACAGGAUUAGAUACCCUGGUAGUCCACACCGUAAACGUUGGGCGCUAGGUGUGGGGCCUAUUCCAUGGGUUCCGUGCCGCAGCUAACGCAUUAAGCGCCCCGCCUGGGGAGUACGGCCGCAAGGCUAAA